rnacentral:pre_miRNA from 1 species
GUGACAGAUAGAGAGUAAGCACCCAUAGCUUCGAGCAUGGAGAUAUGAUGCAAGAAAACACCAUGUGUGCUCACUCUCUUCUGUCAC